AGCCAGUCCAGCCUGUUUGUAUCAAUAAAGUUUUUUUGGAACAUAGCCAUGAUCAUUCAUUUGUGUAUUAUCUGUGGCUGCUUUCAUGUUACAACAUGAGGAGUUGAGUAGUUGUGA